rnacentral:lncRNA from 1 species
AAAUGAUGAAAGCAUGGUGCAUGGGCGCGCAUAGGCCCAUGAAAUGAUUGUUUGAAAGUACAAAAUGAAGUUUAGAUGCUUUGGAGAUGGAUUGGAUUGCAAGGCAAUUGAGCAUUGUUGUUUGAAGUUUGAUCCAUGCCACAUGAUACCAGCCUGUUUAAACCAUGCGCAGCCCAUGCAUUUCUCAUCCAAAAUGCAUGAAUUUUAGCUCUUUGGAAAGGUGAGUUCAAGAGGAACAAGUUUG